CAUAUGUGGUGCCACGUCUGUUACGAGAUCAGUGGCAUGGAAAUUCUUGUCCUGUGAAAAAAAAUUACCUUUUGUCUGCUACAGCCUCCCCCCAGAAGCAAAACAGGCGAUGAAGAUGACGAUCGAAUCGGAGGAUUCUGUGGGUCUGAACAAUCCCGCUCUGAAAGCAAACAUCCUAAAAAAGCUCCAGGACAGAUUGGAGGCGAAAGGAGUGAGUGGAGUCUCCCUGGAGUGGACAGAGCAGGCUGGCAGAAAACAAGCAGAGGGAGAUAAAGGAGGCUGAACCAUGAACUGAUAGUCCCAACUUGGACUGAACCAGACAUGUUACAAUUAAGUUCAAAAUUAUCCUUUUUCUUUAUCAAUUUACAAGGAAGUUUAUUUCUGAUAACAAAAGAGACGGGUAUCUCUCGAACGA